rnacentral:lncRNA from 1 species
CUGAACUGGAAGACCAAGAGACCAAGACUCUGCUUUUCACUGCAGCGAACCCCAGCAGAACAGGGAUUGUUACUGCUGUGUCCUUGCCUGCAGUGCCAGUACCUCACUGCUCAGCGAGUGAGAUCCUCCUACACUCUCCCUCACACAUCUCCUCCUUGCCUUCAGGCCUUCCUCUUCAGGGUUGUUUUGCCAUCGCACUGCUGCUUUUUCUUGCUCAAGCUCCUACUUGGUGUACUGCCCUGUGCUCACGUGGCCUGCAGCUUCCUCCUCUGCUGGUAGCAUUCAGCGCU